GCCGAUCCCCUGCGUUUGCGUCCCAAUUGGCGCAUCUGGCCGGCUCAAGAGCAUCCGUGGAUCUGACCGGAGGAUGCCGCGUGCUGCUACUAGCUGCUCCCUCGGCGACGGCGAGAGUUCGGAACAGGACGGAGGACUUCAGUUCAAAGAGGCCGUCCGACUCGCCGCGCUCUCCCAUAGAUACACGGUGGCGAGUUUCGGCUGCAGCCUCUCCAUCCGCACCCCGUCAUUAGCCGAUUAGCGUAGUGAUAGCCUCACGAAUUGUCAUCGGUUCUUCACGCUCAUUGACUCAUCGUGUUGGUUUGCCUAUGCUAUGCUAUGUAGGCCCAACUGGCCGCGCUCAUGCGUGUCGUCUUUCAUCGUCCGGAAGCCAUCGCGCAAGUCGCCGUUCAUGCCGCGAUCAAGACGGUAGGAGUUUGUACUGGAUUGUGUUCCUGUUUUGCAUGUGAUGAGACAGGUUGCCAGUGUUUGGUUGAUCUAGCGCAACAGCAGCAGUAUACCUUUCCCCUCCUCUUUUUUCUCACUCUCUAAUUCUCUAUGUUCUUUUUCUCGACUGGUACAACAACUGAAUUAUUUAGUAUAUGAAGUGGGUCUGUUGGACCGCCUC
rnacentral:lncRNA from 7 species